rnacentral:lncRNA from 1 species
GUUCCUUAUCUUCUCUAGACAAAUGUAAUGUGCUCCCCUUCUCAGUUAUUCUCAGGUCUUCUAAGAUUAGGCAGUUUUAUGACACUCUUCCUACUCAUUGUGUAUUCACUCCACUGAACUGGGUGGAUUAUCUUUGAGAAUUAUUUUUCAAUGUUUUGACUUCCACUCAUCCCUUUGUAUUCAGCCUAGGCUAGAUUAUGUUGCAGUGACAUUCCAAAAGUCUUGGAUCAAAACCUCCAUGUUGUGCUUCAUGUCCAUCAAAGGUAUUCUCAGCAAUCCAAUCUGGUGGCGGCUGGACCAUCGGGAACAUCACUGCUGGCUUGCUAGGGCCAGGAAAACAGAAACCUGGACACUGGAACACGCUUCCUGUCUUUCGUUACCUCGUGACCUUUCCUAUCAGCAGCCCGUGACUACGAAUUCUUUAUCCCUAUGAACUUGGCUGCCACAUGUGAUUCUGAUGGAAGACGGAAUGAAGCCGUUGGCUGAGCCAGCAGGUGCAAGCUUCAAGCGAGUGAGGCAAAGGACAUAGUAACCAAUGGGUUGAACCACGAGCCACCUGGAUGAUUCUUCUCCAUGAGCUGGACCUGAUAGUCCUGUGAACCGACGGCUGGGUGGUCUCUAAGGGACUCAUUGUGUGGCCACUGCAAUGGGAAGCGCAGGAACACCUCAGGUCCUUGCUGCAUGAUGCUGAACAGAUCACCUGGAGCAGAAGCCCAGCACUACAAUGACAGGCUCCAACUUCCAAGCAGCUACCGGAAUGAGCUUUUUAGGAUCAUGCUGCUCCUGGAUGAAUCCAUUCAGUGUCUUCUUCCUGACAGCUACAAAAGAGAAGAUGUCUAAUUUCAUGGUGAGGAUGCAGCAAGAAGGCAACAUCAAUGAGGAAUUAGGCCCUCACCAGGUACAAAAUCUGCCAUUAUCUUGAUCUUGAACUUCCUACCCUCCACAACUGUGAGUAAUAAAUGUUUGUUGUUUAUAAGCCACCCAGCCUAUGGUAUUUUGUCAUAGAAGCAUGAGUAGACUAAGCCUUCAUUUUCAAAGUGAACCAAUACACAGUUCAAGAUAAUUACUUCAGCCAAGCCAUCUCAUCCGUAUUCUAGACGCAGGAAGGUAAAUGGAUGAGGAGGAAGGGGACAAAGUGUGUGCUCUGGCUGCUUUUAAGGAAGAUUCCAAAAACAAGUCCCAUGAUAUUUCCCUGAACAUAUUAGACAGAAGUUACACAUCAGCCACACUCAACUACUAGACAGAAGUUACACACCAGCCAUGAACUCAUCUAGAAUUUGUGGAUCCUCUCAUUUGGAAGAAAGGUGGUAUGAACAUUGAAAGAAUAACUAGCAGUCUGUCACCCUCCCUGUAUGUAAUAGGCAAUGAUUUUGUCAACAUCUAUGCCUUUGUAUUUCCUCAUAGAUAGGACUAAGAUAUUUCAUAAUCACCAAAUUACAUCAGAAUUAUAAGUGAUAAUAUUAUUUAGUACCUUAGAGAUAAUAGAAGAAAUUUUAAAAUGUCAUGAACUUUGCUUCUUGCAUCUCUUCUGUUCCCGGUGUUCAAGUAAGAGACUAUUGAUAAUUGAGGAAAAUACCUUUGGGUGUCUUAUAUCCCCAUUUUCCUCAAUGUAGCACUAUGUGUCAUAGCAACAGGUCCUCCAAACACAUGUACAGCCUUCCAGGUGGCCUUGCUGCAGAGCUGUCCACUCCCCUUCACCCCAGUGGAGUUGUUCCUGGCCAAGUUGUGAGAAUUAAGAUAAGAAACUAUAAAUCUCCUACUCAGCAACAUUUAUUGAAAAAUUGGUGAGCAAUCCUCUCUAAAUUCUUAUAAGGCUCCUGGAGCAAAUUUCUCACAAGGACCCCAGAACAGUUUUUUCAGCCAUAUGUUCAUAGACCAGUUUGAUUACUGCUGUCUUUCCUGAUGCACUUAAUUUCAUCAUCAUUACUUAAUAUUCAUUAAAAUCUGGCCAUGCUAACUGAGGGCUUUACCAAAUGACCCAGCAAGAACCUGUGUUAAUACCUCUUCCCACCAUCCAUCACCUUGAUGGGCUUAGGGAACAACACAGACAGGAACAAGGACCUAAAGUCCCUGUUGCAGUUACGGAUUGAUUCAUUUAGUUCCUUAGACAAUUCUUCCCCAGGGGAAUUGGACAAUAUGUGGUCUUGGACCAUUUGCUUUCACAUGUAAGGGUUUCCAUCCGCCUCCAAAUUAUCAAUUAGGGACAAUGUGACUAAAAUUUAGAUUGCAAAAUAUUUUUUCUUCUUCUUAAUGGCUUCUUAUAACAACGUAGCCUUUCCUCUGCUAACAAAAAAAAAAAAAAAAAAAAAAAAAAAAACCUCAUUUUGAGUUUUUGUUUGGUUUGGUUUUGCCCUUCCCAGAUCAUCCUAUGAUAUUAGAUGAAAUUAUAGGAAAUACCAAAGUCUGGCAAUACUACUUGAGAUACCUUCAUGAUUGUAUUUUAAACUCAGUGAUCUUAGUGUCUCCUAGAUGCUAAGUUGCCUAAAAGACAGCCCAAAUGUGUGUAUG